UACAGAGGGUGCGAGCGUUGUCCGGAAUCACUGGGCGUAAAGGGCGCGUAGGCGGCUUGAUAAGCGUGCGGUGAAAGCCCGGGGCUCAACCCCGGGUCGGCCGUGCGAACUGUCGAGCUGGAGCACUGUAGAGGCAGGUGGAAUUCCGGGUGUAGCGGUGGAAUGCGUAGAGAUCCGGAAGAACACCCGUGGCGAAGGCGGCUCUCUGGGACGGUACUGACGCUGAGACGCGAAAGCGUGGGGAGCGAACAGG
rnacentral:rRNA from 1 species